rnacentral:pre_miRNA from 1 species
GGAAACUUGGAAACUACCGUUGGAUCGAGAAAUGGACGUCCGAGAUUCGUCCACAUUACCACAGUUAAAUUUUAACUCAUGAGUGAAUCCGCGAGUUAAAUUUUAACUCAUGGUGACGUGGACGAAUCUCGGACGUCCAUUUCUCGAUCCAACGGUAGUUUCCAAGUUUCC